CGGGAGGCAGCAGUGAGGAAUAUUGGUCAAUGGGCGCAAGCCUGAACCAGCCAUGCCGCGUGCAGGAUGACAGUUCUAUGGAUUGUAAACUGCUUUUAUACGGGAAGAAUAACCUGAACGUGUUCGGGGAUGACUGUACUGUAUGAAUAAGCAUCGGCUAACUCCGUGCCAGCAGCCGCGGUAAUACGGAGGAUGCAAGCGUUAUCCGGAUUUAUUGGGUUUAAAGGGUGCGUAGGCGGGGUAUUAAGUCAGUGGUGAAAGUCUGCAGCUUAACUGUAGAAUUGCCAUUGAUACUGGUACUCUUGAAUACAAUUGAGGUAGGCGGAAUGUGUAAUGUAGCGGUGAAAUGCAUAGAUAUUACACAGAACACCGAUUGCGAAGGCAGCUUACUAAAUUGUGAUUGACGCUGAGGCACGAAAGCGUGGGGAUCAAACAGGAUUAGAUACCCUGGUAGUCCACGCCGUAAACGAUGAUCACUGGAUGUUGGCGAUACAC
rnacentral:rRNA from 1 species